GUAUAUUAGUAUACUGUAGUGAUAUAUCGUUACAUAAUUGUGUUCUUCUUCGAUUAUUACAAUACACCAUUGCAGUAUAUUGUAAACUGAUAUUACUUUUGCCUUGAUACUUCAUUGAAAUAUGACUUGUCUGCCCUGCAAAUUUUUAUAAUUAUUUUUGGUUAAUUUUAAUUUGAGAAUAUAAUACAGCUAAAUAUGAGAUAUAUGGCAUUACAUUGGUGUAACAAAUGAAACGACAUUGGGAUAUGUUAAGUUACAAGUUGUUUGUGAAGGACCUAAGCAACAUGUAAAUUAAAUAAAAGGUUAGUUAGCAAGGGUUAGGGGUCAAGAAAAGUUAGUGGCAGUUGGUAGUUAUAUAAUGAUUUAACUAUAAAUGCUUUGAAUUAAUAACAAACAAGCGGACAAGAGAAUUAAAUAACCCAUUAAAUAUUUGUAAAAGGGUCUCGUGGCUUAGGGGAUAAGUUGUGAGUAGGCGGGUAAUUUGUUUUGAUCGUUUAGACAGUUUAUGUAAUUAUUUUAAUGGGUAGAGACGGGUAAUAUAAAUGGCCGACAUAGGCAUUUUAUGUAGUUUCCUCAUUCUUAAGCCCUAGUCAAAAUUGAGAAACUUUCAGAAAUCAUUAUGUUUUAGUGGUUAUUAGUUAGUUGUAGUUAUCAUUUACUAUAUUACUUGCUAUAGAUAUACUUUUAGAUCUUUAAAAAUAUAUUUGAUGUAUUUAAGCUAUUAUAUUCAUGAACAUAGUAGCAUUUCUAGGGGUGAAAAGGGGAAUUACAGCUAAACAGAUUUUUGUAUUCGACCAUAUUCAUGGCGUGAAACAUGGGAUUACAUCUAGACAGAUUACUGUAUUUGACUCUAUUCACGACGUGAAACAGGGAAUUACAUUGUUUUUAAACGUAAAGUGAAUCAAUUAACAUAGUAAACUCCUAAUAUAACUCAACAAACUCAAUUACAAUACACAAAUUUUGUAUUUCCAUUUAUAAAAAAGAUUCUCAACCGAAAAAUACCCAAAAAAAUAUAACAAUCUUCAAAGAAAUUAUAUAAUACUUCUGAAUACAUAAAUUAUAUUAACUUAAAAAAAUAUGAAUACAUUCAUGAAAUAUAGCGAGAUAGUGAAUGCAAUGAAAUACGUAGAAUACAUCGGGAUACAUUGAAAUACAAUGGAGAAAAAAUAAUGAAUAUAAUGAAAUACAUAAAAUACAGCGAGAUACAUUGAAAUACAAUAAAAAAAGGAUAAUGAAUACAAUGAAAUAUAUAGAAUAAAUGGAGAUACAUUGGAAUACAAUAAAAAAAAAUAUAACAUACUCUUCAAGUUGCUCAGCCCCAAACUUCAUAGUUUUUGUUCAAGAAUAACUCUAAUGACGUCUCGUCUACAUUGUCCAAAGAGCACAAUCACACAAUCACACAGGAUCUACGUUGGACGAUGAGCUUGAUGAGGGAGAGCAGAUAGAUAGAAAUAUCGGGGCUUUCAGGUAGAGCUAUUUGCAUAUAAGUUUGAAAACAAUUCAGAGUUGGUCUCAGAAUCAACAUUAUUUGAUAAAAUAUGUCUUCAGAAACUUCUGAAAAUCUUUCCUUUUGAAACUAUUAUCAAACUUAAUUUCAUUCAAAUGGAUUUUUGGAGAAAUUCUUGAAAUUGUGCAUAGGCUACCUAUCUGUGAAGAGGAAAGAAAGAAGAAAUAUGAGAUUGACUUAUUUCUCCUUACAGCGAUAAGUAGAUCAGAGUAAAGUGCAAAAUAUUAGGUAGUUUCGACGGAGGCGUUAAAGAUGUGUACCGAAAGAGGAAAGAGAAAGGAGCAGAGAGGGGAGAGAGAGGGAGUGAAAAAAAAA
rnacentral:lncRNA from 1 species